UCAACUUUCUUCCAAGUCUGAUCCGUACAAGCUUAAUGGGAUAUUGGUGAUAUAUUCUUCUUUCACCAAUAUCCCAUUAAGCUUGUACGGAUCAGACUUGGAAGAAAGUUGA
rnacentral:pre_miRNA from 1 species